rnacentral:rRNA from 1 species
AGGGUAAAGGCUUACCAAGGCAAUGAUGCGUAGCCGAAUUGAGAGGUUGAUCGGCCACAUUGGGACUGAGACACGGCCCAAACUCCUACGGGAGGCAGCAGUAGGGAAUCUUCCACAAUGGGCGAAAGCCUGAUGGAGCAACGCCGCGUGGGUGAAGAAGGUCUUCGGAUCGUAAAACCCUGUUGUUAGAGAAGAAAGUGCGUGAGAGUAACUGUUCACGUUUCGACGGUAUCUAACCAGAAAGCCACGGCUAACUACGUGCCAGCAGCCGCGGUAAUACGUAGGUGGCAAGCGUUAUCCGGAUCUAUUGGGCGUAAAGGGAACGCAGGCGGUCUUUUAAGUCUGAUGUGAAAGCCUUCGGCUUAACCGGAGUAGUGCAUUGGAAACUGGGAGACUUGAGUGCAGAAGAGGAGAGUGGAACUCCAUGUGUAGCGGUGAAAUGCGUAGAUAUAUGGAAGAACACCAGUGGCGAAAGCGGCUCUCUGGUCUGUAACUGACGCUGAGGUUCGAAAGCGUGGGUAGCAAACAGGAUUAGAUACCCUGGUAGUCCACGCCGUAAACGAUGAAUGCUAAGUGUUGGAGGGUUUCCGCCCUUCA